GGAGCCAAUUGUUUUCUUUUCUAUCUUAUAAUUUUUCAUUAUUUUAUAUUUGUUGGUCUCAGUUUCUCUAUUCUAUGUUUUAGUCCAGUUAUUCACUAUUUUAUAGUUUUUUGGCCUAUCUUUUUAUAUUCUCUAUUUGUAGUAGCCGGUUUUUCAUCAUUUGAUAUUUUUUUUCUGGUCCAUGUUUCUAUAUUCUAUAUUGUUUGCACAUAUUUUGUUGUCCCAUUAUUCUCUUAUUUGUAAACCAC
rnacentral:lncRNA from 1 species